rnacentral:rRNA from 1 species
CAGCCGCCGCGGUAAUACGUAGGUGGCAAGCGUUGUCCGGAAUUAUUGGGCGUAAAGGGCUCGCAGGCGGUUUCUUAAGUCUGAUGUGAAAGCCCCCGGCUCAACCGGGGAGGGUCAUUGGAAACUGGGAAACUUGAGUGCAGAAGAGGAGAGUGGAAUUCCACGUGUAGCGGUGAAAUGCGUAGAGAUGUGGGGGAACACCAGUGGCGAAGGCGACUCUCUGGUCUGUAACUGACGCUGAGGAGCGAAAGCGUGGGGAGCGAACGGGAUUAGAUACCCCCGUAGUCCCUGUCUCUUAUAC